rnacentral:rRNA from 1 species
UACAGAGGGUGCUAGCGUUGUUCGGAAUCAUUGGGCGUAAAGGGCGUGUAGGCGGUUUGUUAAGUCAUGUGUGAAAUCCCUCGGCUCAACCGGGGAACGACGCAUGAAACUGGCAAGCUAGAGUACCAAAGAGGGGGGUGGAAUUCCCGGUGUAGCGGUGAAAUGCGUAGAUAUCAGGAGGAACACCCGUGGCGAAAGCGGCUCUCUGGGACGGUACUGACGCUGAGACGCGAAAGCGUGGGGAGCAAACAGG